rnacentral:tRNA from 5 species
GCCAUGUUAGUUUAUAUGAAAAUGUGUGAUUUGUAAUCGUGGGUAGUUUGUGGCU